AAACUAACAAGGAUUCCCCUAGUAACGGCGAGUGAAGAGGGAAGAGCUCAAAUUUGAAAGCUGGUACCUUCGGUAUCCGCGUUGUAACCUCGAGACACGUUUUCCGUGCGGCGCUAUGGACAAGUUCCUUGGAACAGGACAUCGUAGAGGGUGAAAAUCCCGUACUUGCCAUGGAUGUACCGUGCUUUGCGAUACGUGCUCUAAGAGUCGAGUUGUUUGGGAUUGCAGCUCAAAAUGGGUGGUAGACUCCAUCUAAAGCUAAAUAUCGGGGAGAGACCGAUAGCGAACAAGUACCGUGAGGGAAAGAUGAAAAGCACUUUGGAAAGAGAGUUAAAAGUACGUGAAAUUGUCGAAAGGGAAGCGCUUGAAGUCAGCCAUGCCGCUCAGGACUCAGCCUGGCUUUUGCUUGGUGUAUUUCCUGGGUAGCAAGUCAGCAUUGGUUUGGAUCGUCGGAGAAGCAUAGUCGGAAUGUGGCGCCCUCGGGCGUGUUAUAGCCUUCUAUUGGAUACGACGAUCUAGACCAAGGAACGCAGCGCGCCUUAUGGCGGGUCU
rnacentral:rRNA from 1 species